UAUUGAGGCAGCGAGCGCAGAGGCUGCUGUGAGUGAGGAGGCGCAGCCUGAGGAGACCACAGAUAAGUUUUUCUGCUAAGAUAGAUAGGAUUAGUAUAAUUCUGUAGGAAUUAUAAAUAGAAUAGUGAGAUACUGCUUUGCAUUAAAUUCUUAGAGUAACUUUGAUAACUUAAGAUUAUUUUAGGGGAAAUAUGAAGACUUAAAGAGUAGGUUGAGAAAGGAAGAAAAAUAAUUUUAGAACAUGGCGGAGGUUAGGAGCUGAAACUUCUUCAUGGAGUGAAAAAACUAAUUUUAAAAGGAAUUGCUGAAAGAAAUAGGACUGCACAGUACGAAAUUUUCUUAAAUGAAAGGCAGCCUUUUAGAUUAACGUUAAAACGUAGGGUGACAUAAACAGAACCUAAACCUAACCGUCAUUUAAAAAAGUCAUAGUUGUAGAGGAUUAAAAUUCUUUAAAAGCCGUCUUUUAAGAAAAUUAACUGAAGGUGAUUUAAGAAACAUGCCUUCAAAUUCAUGGCGCAAUAAAAAUUGCGACAUUUGAAGCCUACUUGAUUAUAAGGGCUUUAUUUGCUAAAGCCGACGGAAAUAAUAAUUAGGGAUGGUAGGAUAAAGAUUUUGAGAAAGAAGAUUAGAAAUUUGAAGUGGAAAACUCGGAAGACAGAAGUACAGGAAGGUGAAGAAAAGACUAGAGAAGAUAGGAAAAGUAGAAGAUAAAAAUACGCCUGUUAGAAGACAGAAAAAACUAAUUUUAGCCCAGAAGGUAGAAGGCGGAAGAAAAAGUAGACAAAACUAGCAGAGAGAAAGAAGGUUGAACAUACGGUCGAGUAUUUCAGAUAGAAAAUGAAAAACAAGCUAUUGGACAUAAGCAUACCAGAUAGACGUCAAAAAAAAAUUAGAAGAUGCGAAAGUUCAAGGCCAAAAAGUUGGAUAAAGGAACAAAAACUAAGGAAAAUAAUUUUUUAUAGUUAAAAGAAUUAUAAAAGCCCAUCAACUUAAUUCUGGUGGGGCAGAAGUUAGAUUUGAGAAGAUGAGGGUUUUUAAACUGCUGUAGGUCAGGACCAACUUAGAAGACUAUCCCAAAACGAGAAGGGAAGUCAGUUUAAAAUCACAGCAAAAAGCUACUAAAAGGACUGAAGUAAUUUAAAAACUAAGAAUGUUUUUGGAAGAGUUAAACAUUUGAAAGGCUGUAAAUACAGUAGCUUAGUUUCCUUUGGAAAAUUUAAAGGACUUUGUAACUGAAGGAAAUCCAAGAGCAAGAAUAACCGUCAAGUUAACAUUUUUGCAUUGGACUUUGCGCUAAGAUGAAAUUUUAAAUUCUGAGGACUAGGCGCUAAUUAACAGCUGACCCAGGUGCUACACAGAAGUGGAUUCAGUGAAUCUAGGAAGACAGGAGCCGCAGACAGGAUUCCAGGAGCCAGUGUUUGGUGAAACUAGGACUGAGGAGCAAGCGGCAGUUCGUGAAUAUAGGAAAGAGGAGCCCGGGAGCCAGUGCGAUUUGGUGAAGGAAGCUAGGAAGAAGGAAGGAGCCCUAACGAUUUGGAGGUGAAGCUAGGAGAGGAUCCCAGGAAGGAGGAGGCCAGUGCGAUGUGGUGAUGAAGCUAGCGUGCGGCUUGGCUUGGCAACCACGCGGAGGAGGCGAGCAGGCGGUGUGGAGGAUAGAUAGAGGAUCCUAGAGCGGCAGCCCAGUGUGCCAGGCCCGCAGGGAGAGCCAGUGGUGUGGUAAAAAAAUCCGUGAGGUCGGCCAUAUCGUGGGUUGUUUUCUUCUCCUUAAUUUUUUUUUUAUGUAAUUGAGUAUGGUAAUAUCUUUGAAUUUCCUAAUGGUAAUGGGGGAGUUGUGUACUUAAGCAUAAAGGGUUUUAUGGGGAUGUAGGCCGAUUUUCGGGUGUCGUAGGUUUCUCUUUUGCAGGCCUAUUUUCUCAUGCAUCUUUUCUGGAGCUUUUGAGGGCAGACUUCCAAGGCCCGGAGGAAUGGUAGAUGGCAAGUGUUUUUGUUUUUAACCAAUAUGAGGGAAGACAAAUGGAUUUGAUAGAACGACUUUGAGAGGAUUUCAGCAAGUUGUGUAAGCAGGUUUUAUAUUUAGCUUGGGGUAAUGAAGCAUUUCAAUUUCGUGAAUAGAGGACCUAUUUUUCUUUCUCACCCUGUAUUCUGAAAGUUUUCUGAAUAUGUAGCUUGGGUGUGUAAUUGUGGGGGGAAAGUUUUGGGGGGGCAAAAUAUGUUUUGAGUUUUUUUCCCUUUAGGUCUGUCUAGAAUUCCAAAGGCAAAUGACUCAAGGUAACAGGAAAAAAGAAAAUCCAGUAUCAGGAUUAUCAGAACACCACAGGUUUACAGUUUGUAGAAACGAGAGCACAAGCAGCUCUCAUUUGAGGUCUGGCGGAGCUGUCCGUGGGAGAAAUGGCUGGCAGUUAUUCUGGUUCUCCACCCCUUAAUCAGACAUUUUUUAAAGUACGUAACUGGUUAUUUUUACUUGAAGUAUUUUGGGGACGAGGGUGGGGGAGAAAAUGUUUCUCUAAGAUUUUCCACAGAUGCUAUAGUACUAUUGACAAACUGAGUUAGAGAAGGAUUGUACUGCUACGCUGUUUGGCACCAACGCCUUCAGGGAUUGGAGCUGCUUUUUUCCUUGGAAGAGUAUUCCCAGUGAAGCUGAAGUGCACAGCACAGUGCAGCUUUGGUUCAUACUCAGUCGUCUCAGGAGAACUUCAGGAGAGCUUGACUAGGCCAAAUGUUGAAGUUAAGUUUUCAAAUAAUGUAACUUUCAAGCUAACUUAUUAACGGGGAGGGGCAGACUGGCAAUUAGUUGGCAGUGGCCUAUGGUUGGGAUUGGGAGGGUUGGGUUUAGGUAAUUGUUUAGUUUAUGAUUUCAGAUAACUCAUACCAGAGAACUUAAAUACUUAGGAUGGAAAACUAAAGAACUCUCAACUUCCAAGGUGGCAAGUAACUCCCAAUUUUCUAGUUCCUGUUUUUCCCCAGUUUUUGAAUUUGACAGCUGGGGAAGUUCAUGAAGAUUGACUGGAUUUAAAGUGUAGGGCUUGGGGAAGGAAAAUGGUGGACUGGGGGUUGGUCUAGCCCACUGGGCUGCCUUAGAUUAAAAACUUGGGAAUUUUUUAAAUGCUUCAGUUGUUUGCAUAUGGUAGUGUGUGGUUCUCUUUUGGAAUUUUUUUCAGGUGGUUUAAUAAAACUUACUAUAGGAGCUUCAGAGCAAAGGAGGUGGCUUAAUGAUCCUGAAGGGAUUUCUUCUGAUGGUAGCUUUUAUAUUAUCAAGUAAGAUUCUAUUUUCAGUUGUAUGUAAGCAAGCAUAUUUUUUUAGUGUAGGAAAACCUUGUGUGUGGGACUGCAAAACAGGAUGUUAAGGUAUGAUUCAAAAUUAUUGUAAACUGUCUCAAAUUUGCAUCUAAGUAUUUGUAAAUUAUAACUGAUAAGAGGGUGGGCUUUUGUUGAUGAGGGAGGGGAAACCCUUUUUUUUUUCCUGUAGACUUUUUUCAGAUAACAACUUCUGAGUCAUAACCAGCCUGGCAGUAUGAUGGCCUAGAUCGAGAGGGGAACAGCUCCUUGGUGAAUGAUAAGUAAAGGCAGAAAAGAUUAUAUAUCAUAUCUACAUGGGGGAAAAAGCAUAACCCUGAGAUCCUUAACUACUGAUGAACAAACACAUUGUCUGCAUAUGCCAAAAAAAAUUAAGCAAAUGAAAGCUACCAAUUUAAAGUUAAUGGAAUCUACCACUUUAAAGUUUGGCUUAUCAAGCUGUAUCCACAAAAAUAAUGAAUUGAUGAGAAAUAAUGAAAUGAUGAGAUACAAUGAAGAUCAAAUGUCCAUCUCAAUACUGCUUUUACAAAAGCAGAAUAAAAAAGCGAAAUGAAAUGAAAAUGAUAAUGCUACACAUUAAUCCUGGAAUAAAAGAAGCUGAAAUAAUUGAAAUGAGUGGGAUCAAGUGGAUUGAGGAGGAGGCUGUGCUGUUUGCCAAUCUUUCGUUUGCCUCAGACAGGUUUCUCAUUAUCAGAAGAGUUGCUUCAUUUCAUCUGGGAGCAGAAAACAGCAGGCAGCUGUUAACAGAUAAGUUUAACUUGUAUCUGCAGUAUUGCAUGAUAGGGAUAAGUGCUUACCUUUGCUAAGAGCUGUGGAGGUGUCCUAGGUCCCUUACCUAAGGGAUUCCGGGAUUGUGAGGGAUUUUCCUAUCCAGCCUUUUAAAAUUAGACAGGACUUAGUGUGCCUGUGGGCUUCCAUGAUGGGUUAGCACACUUCACUCAGAGGCUAGUAAUUCCUUAAAGCCUCUUGAGAUUAAUAAAGGUAAUGUGUGUAAUACUAAGAACAUUUGUUCAGCAUUGAAUCUCUGAAAAGCCUAUUGAAGGGUAGCAUAAUGUGCUGUUAACCAGAAUUCAGAUUGUUAAUCUUGCUAAAAUUUAAAUGUUAUGAUGUGUAUUGUGCAGAAAACCGUUAAAUUAUUCAAAAUAAAAUACUUUGUAGAGAAUGUAUGCUUUUAGAAAGCUGUCUCCUUAUUUAAAUAAAAUUGUUUGUAGUUAGUGUUGGGCAAUCUUGGGGGGAUUCUUCUCAUCUUUCAGAAACUUUGAACACUCUUUAACGGACAAGAUCAGGAGUUGAGCGGAAGAACGAAUUUAACUUAAGGCAGGAAAAACAAAUUUUAUCCUUCGUAAAAGUGAUGAGCAUUUAAUAAUUCCAGGCACAUGGCAAUAGAGGCCCUCUAAAUAAGGAAUAAAUACCUCUUAGACAGGUGGGAGAUUAUGAUCAGGAAAACAGGUAACACCUACGCUGUUUUCAGAAAGUCAGGAGUCUAGUGGUUAAACUUAGAGUAAUGAGAGAUCAUACUAUCCACGUUUCCAGUUUGCAUGUUAACUUUAAAUGCUUACAGUCGUGUUAUCUAGUGGUAGCUGAUGUUUACACUAUUGGCCUUUUAUAUAGGCACUUGGUGUGGGGGAGGGCAUGUGGGUUUUUUAAAGAAUUUUCCUUUGCAGAGGCUUCAUUUCAUCCUUCAUGAAGCUGUUCAGGAUUUUGACUUGCAUAUAAGCACUUGGCUCUGCCUUCUGUUCUCCUAGUGAGUGUGAGACCUUGCAGUGAGUUUAUCAGCAUACUCAAGUAAAUUUUUCCCCCCUGAUUUUGGAGGGAAGGGAGGAGAGGGUGGGGCUUACUUGUUUUAGUUUUUUUUUUUGCAGACUACACAGAAUGCAGUUGUCUUGAUCUCAGGUCUGUCUGUUCUGUUGGCAAGUAAUGCAGUACUGUUCUGAUCCGCUGCUAUUAGAAUGCAUUGUGAAACAACUGGAGUAUGAUUAAAAGUUGUGUUUUCCCCAAUGCUUGGAAUAGUGAUUGUUGAAGGAAAAUCCAGCUGAGUAAUAAAAGGCUGAGUGUUGAGGAAAUUUCUGCAGCUUUAAGCAUUCGUGUUUGUGAUUGAAGCAAAGUCCCUUUUGCCGUGCUUUUAGGUAAAAUGCUUUUUUGUUCACUUCUGGUAAGGGGGUGGGAGGGCACUGAAGCCUUUAGUCUUUUCCAGAUGCAACUUUAAAAUCAGUGACAAGAAAUAAAAUUCAAACGAACAACAGUCUUCACGAAAUUUAACUGGCAAGUGGAAAUGUUUAACAACAGUUCAGUGGUCUUAGUGCAUUGUCUUUGUGCCGGGUUUCUCUCUCCCCUCCCUUGGUCUUAAUUCUUAUAUACAGGAACAUUCAAAACAACAGACGUAUGCGAAGGGCCAGAGAAGCCAGACCCAGUAAGGAAAAAUAGCUUAUUUACUUUUAAUAAACAAACCAAACAUUGCAUUUUAAAUGUGGGGAUUGGGAACCACUAGUUCUUUCAGAUGGUAUUCUUCAGACUAUAGAAGGAGCUUCCAGUUGAAUUCACCAGUGGACAAAAUGAGGACAACAGGUGAACAAGCUUUUUCUAUAUUUACAUACCAAGUCAGAUCUGUUAUGGGUACUUCAGUACUAAGUGACCUUCCAGCUUUACGCUGGUGUCAACAGCAUGAGCGAGUUGUUUGUUGGCCUGGGGGUGGAGGGGUGAGGUGGGCGCUAAGCCUUUUUUUAAGAUUUUUCAGGUAACCCUCACUAAAAGCACCGAAGGCUUAAAGUAGGACAACCACGGAGCCUUCCUGUGGCAAGAGAGACAGCAAAGCGCUAUUAUACCAAGGUCAAUCAGAAUGGUGUCGGCCUCUCAACCCCAUCUUCUGUUAGGAAAUGAGGACUUGCCUCAACGACACCCUUUGCAGACACUGCAUUGAGGCUGUCUUUUUGGGGAGUGAAGCAUCCAAACGAAUGCUUGAGUACCUUGUAUACCCUGGGCUUGUCCUAACAUACAACUCAGCUGUUUUUAUAGCAGCUCUUAAUAAAGCCCAAACCUCAAAAAGUGAUGCUUGAAGGGGAGGGAAAGGGGGAAAGCGGGCAACCACUUUUCCCUAGCUUUUCCAGAAGCCUGUUAAAAAGCAAGGUCUCCCCACAAGUGACUUCUCUGCCACAUCGCCACCCCCUGCCUUUGGCCUAGCGCAGACCCUUCACCCCUCACCUCGAUGCUGCCGGUAGCUUGGAUCCUUGUGGGCAUGAUCCAUAUCGGUCUUAAGGUAUUCCUCAUGUAUCUAGUGUUCGGAGAAGUCUCACUAUUGAAAUUUUAAAUUACAUACUAAUAAAAAUUAAAAAGCU